rnacentral:tRNA from 2 species
CGCGACGUAGCUCAACUGGUAGAGCCACUGCAUCGCAGUAGGUUGGGGUUCGAGUCCCCCGUCUUUCCCA